rnacentral:lncRNA from 1 species
AGAUCUCUAAAGCUAUUUAAUUUUUUUUCUAUUUUUUUUAUACUUUCUACUCAAUUUUUCUUCUCUCCAAGCUUAUUCCUGGACUCUCUAUUUAUAUAUAAAUUUUUUAUAAUUUUUUGGUAGGAAAAGGAGUCCUAAAACCCUUAGAAAUCAUAUUAAUCCCCCUAGGAAUAUUCCUGACCAUCGGAUCAGCUUCGGACCACCC